GCCGCAGUGGUGGAAUCGGCAGACACCAGGGACUUAAAAUCCCUUGAUAGCAAUAUCGUGCCCGUUCAAGUCGGGUCUGCGGCACCA
rnacentral:tRNA from 1 species